GCUCGUUUGAGUGUCAUUGUACUCUCACACUCCUAAUGCUUUUGGAUUGGGAGCGGUGGACUUGGGUGUUGCUGCUUUACUGCGGCUCGCCUCAAAUGGAGUAGUGCAACUCUCGGUUGGACAUAGUACGGCGUGAUAAGUGUCUUCGCCGGCGCCUCAUUAGAGGGUGGCCGAUCGGGAGCUCUGUGCUCUCAAACCGUCUUCRGACAACAUCUGACAACUUGACCUCAAAUCGAGUAGGACUACCCGCUGAACUUAAGCAUAUCAAUAAGCGGAGGAAAAGAAACUAACAAGGAUUCCCCUAGUAACGGCGAGUGAAGAGGGAAGAGCUCAAAUUUUGAAUCUGGCGUCUUUGGCGUCCGAAUUGUAAUCUAGAGAAGUGUUUUCCGUGACGGACCGUGCAUAAGUCUCCUGGAAUGGAGUGUCAUAGAGGGUGAGAAUCCCGUAUAUGGCAUGGACUCCCGUUGCUCUGUGAUACACUCUCGACGAGUCGAGUUGUUUGGGAAUGCAGCUCCAAAUGGGUGGUAAAUGCCAUCUAAAGCUAAAUAUUGGCGAGAGACCGAUAGCGAACAAGUACCGUGAGGGAAAGAUGAAAAGCACUUUGGAAAGAGAGUGAAACAGUACGUGAAAUUGUUGAAAGGGAAACGCUUGAAGUCAGUCGCGCCGUUCGGGAUUCAGCCUUGCUUCUGCUCGGUUUACUUCCCGUUGGGUGGGUCAACAUCAGUUUCGGUCGGAGGAGAAAGGCUCGGGGAAGGURGCAGCAUUCGUGCUGUGUUAUAGCCCCUUGUUGUAUACUUCGACUGGGACUGAGGAUCGCAGCACGCCUUUGGCCGGGGUUCGCCCACGUACGUGCUUAGGAUGUUGGCAUAAUGGCUUUAAGCGACCCGUCUUGAAAC
rnacentral:rRNA from 1 species